rnacentral:lncRNA from 1 species
UUUCUAUCUCUCUCUCUCUCUUGAAUGUGCGGAGAAUUCAAAAGGCUGAAGAAAGAGGGGGAAUCCGACAACGACCGCCGGCGGCUUCAAAGGCGAGAAAGCAGAGCCAAAGACAGGAGGGGAGGAGUAGGAAGACAGAGACGGCAGGCCCAUGCACGCCCAGCGUAUCUGCGGUGGGCCCUCCCCACCACCCUUUGAAUCCGGGAC